GGCCCAUUAGUCUAGGGGUUAGGACGUUGGAUUUUGAUCACAUCCGUCGUUUCCAAAGUCAUCAGUUCGAAUCUGAUAUGGGCCU
rnacentral:tRNA from 1 species